CACCCAUACGGUCGGCGCAAAUACGGCAGCGUAUGGGGAAGAGGCCCCUACUGUGAGGCAGGUCUGAAACAGGGGCGAGUGGCGGCGAAGGCAGCACCACUGACCUUACAAGGCUGCCGCGU
rnacentral:sRNA from 23 species